CUUUCGACUACUGGGGGAAAGGUACAAUGGUUACAGUCACAACAGACACUUCAACUGCACCCACUGUGUUUCCUCUGGUACCAUGUGGUUCUGAAAGUGGAGAUAUGGUCACUCUUGGCUGCCUUGCCACUGGCUUUAACCCUCCUGCAGUGACUUUCUCAUGGAGCAACGACAACAAUCCCUUGACAGACUUCAUCCAGUACCCUGCAGUACAAAAAGGCAAUGUUUAUACUGGAGUCAGUCAAAUCCGAGUGAGGAGACAGGACUGGGAUGGACGACAGAAUUUUCAAUGUGCUGUAAACCACACUGCUGGAAUUGCACAGACUCCUAUCACAAAACCACGUAAGCCUGAUGAGGCGUCUGAGCCGGUGAACAAUACUAACCAAAACAACAAAGGAGAGCCAACAGUAGCAGUCUACAUCCCCCCACAGCUGCACACUGACCAGUUUCAGUCUGAAGAUAAAAUCACUCUGGUGUGUCUGGUCACCAGUACUGUGGAUGAGACGUAUAAAAUCGAAUGGUCAGAAAUCAGAGCAAAAAUGACCAGAAAUGGCGACGUAUGA